CGGAAAGAUGAAGCUACCUCCAUGGAAAGUAAAUCUCUUCGCUCAAAAGCAACCACAUCAAGGUUAAGCAGAUGGAAUCAUACCAAGAUAUUUUCAGAUUUUGGAGAAGAUUCUGAGGAUGAUAGGUGAUAUGGAAGCACAAACUGUUACUAGUCGACGAAGCGCUUCUCAGUUCAAUACCAAAGCAUCUGCAGCAAGGAAAACGAAUCAUAUCUUCCUCUGGCGCCACUCUCUUUCUCAGACAUUGGUUUGUUGACGAGAAUAACUACAGGACUACCCAAGGCUCUGAUAGGCUUAUUACCCCCUUUGGUGAGGUGGUGGAUCAUCAGGGCAAGUAUCAUGGACCUUUCAUCUUUAAAGGCGGCAUUUAGAGCUGCUAGUUUAUCAACUGCAUCAAGUGACACAUCACCCGCGGUAUACAAGCCGUCCUCUUCAGGCAGC